GCCUAGUGAGCUUAGUUAGUAAAGCGUCUGCCUUGUAAGCGCUAGGCCGCGGGUUCGAUUCCCACCCGGGGCA
rnacentral:tRNA from 1 species